UCUAGCUACAGGCUUAACACAUGCAAGUCGAGGGGCAGCAUGGUCUUAGCUUGCUAAGGCCGAUGGCGACCGGCGCACGGGUGAGUAACACGUAUCCAACCUGCCGUCUACUCUUGGACAGCCUUCUGAAAGGAAGAUUAAUACAAGAUGGCAUCAUGAGUCCGCAUGUUCACAUGAUUAAAGGUAUUCCGGUAGACGAUGGGGAUGCGUUCCAUUAGAUAGUAGGCGGGGUAACGGCCCACCUAGUCUUCGAUGGAUAGGGGUUCUGAGAGGAAGGUCCCCCACAUUGGAACUGAGACACGGUCCAAACUCCUACGGGAGGCAGCAGUGAGGAAUAUUGGUCAAUGGGCGAGAGCCUGAACCAGCCAAGUAGCGUGAAGGAUGACUGCCCUAUGGGUUGUAAACUUCUUUUAUAAAGGAAUAAAGUCGGGUAUGGAUACCCGUUUGCAUGUACUUUAUGAAUAAGGAUCGGCUAACUCCGUGCCAGCAGCCGCGGUAAUACGGAGGAUCCGAGCGUUAUCCGGAUUUAUUGGGUUUAAAGGGAGCGUAGAUGGAUGUUUAAGUCAGUUGUGAAAGUUUGCGGCUCAACCGUAAAAUUGCAGUUGAUACUGGAUAUCUUGAGUGCAGUUGAGGCAGGCGGAAUUCGUGGUGUAGCGGUGAAAUGCUUAGAUAUCACGAAGAACUCCGAUUGCGAAGGCAGCCUGCUAAGCUGCAACUGACAUUGAGGCUCGAAAGUGUGGGUAUCAAACAGGAUUAGAUACCCUGGUAGUCCACACGGUAAACGAUGAAUACUCGCUGUUUGCGAUAUACGGCAAGCGGCCAAGCGAAAGCGUUAAGUAUUCCACCUGGGGAGUACGCCGGCAACGGUGAAACUCAAAGGAAUUGACGGGGGCCCGCACAAGCGGAGGAACAUGUGGUUUAAUUCGAUGAUACGCGAGGAACCUUACCCGGGCUUAAAUUGCAGAUGAAUUACGGUGAAAGCCGUAAGCCGCAAGGCAUCUGUGAAGGUGCUGCAUGGUUGUCGUCAGCUCGUGCCGUGAGGUGUCGGCUUAAGUGCCAUAACGAGCGCAACCCUUGUUGUCAGUUACUAACAGGUUCCGCUGAGGACUCUGACAAGACUGCCAUCGUAAGAUGUGAGGAAGGUGGGGAUGACGUCAAAUCAGCACGGCCCUUACGUCCGGGGCUACACACGUGUUACAAUGGGGGGUACAGAGGGCCGCUACCACGCGAGUGGAUGCCAAUCCCCAAAACCUCUCUCAGUUCGGACUGGAGUCUGCAACCCGACUCCACGAAGCUGGAUUCGCUAGUAAUCGCGCAUCAGCCACGGCGCGGUGAAUACGUUCCCGGGCCUUGUACACACCGCCCGUCAAGCCAUGGGAGCCGGGGGUACCUGAAGUGCGUAACCGCGAGGAGCGCCCUAGGGUAAAACUGGUGACUGGGGC
rnacentral:rRNA from 1 species